UCUAAAACAGGAUUAGAUACCCUGUUAUACUGAGCUUAAAAUAUGCCGCUUGAGUAGUAAACAGUUAUACCCUCGAAACUUAAAGGAUUUGGCGGUAUCUUAGUCUUGUUAGAGGAAUCUGUUCUAUAAACGAUAAACCACGAAGUAUCUUACUCUCUCUUGUAAUACAGCUUGUAUACCGCCAUUAUUAGAUAGUUUUUAUAAAAAUCUAUUGAAAUAGUACAAAGUUAAUAUAUUAGGUCAAGGUGCAGCUAAUGAGAGAGUGGGUAAUGGAUUACAAUGAUAUAAGUAUAUUACGGAUUAAUAAAUGAAUAUUUGUUCUGAAGGUGGAUUUAAUAGUAAAGCUUAUUUAAUAAGUGGGUUUGAUAGAAGCUCUAAGAUAUGUACACAUCGCCCGUCGCUCUCACUCCUAAU
rnacentral:rRNA from 1 species